rnacentral:rRNA from 1 species
UACCCGCUUUGGCGGCAGGCCCUAAUACAUGCAAGUCGAGCGCGAAAGCCUUCGGGUGAGUAGAGCGGCGGACGGGUGAGUAACGCGUGGGAAUCUGCCCAGUAGUGGGGGACAACUUAUGGAAACGUAAGCUAAUACCGCAUACACCCUACGGGGAAAAGGGGGCUUCGGCUCUCGCUAUUGGAUGAGCCCGCGUUAGAUUAGCUAGUUGGCGGGGUAAAGGCCUACCAAGGCGACGAUCUAUAGCUGGUCUUAGAGGAUGAUCAGCCACACUGGGACUGAGACACGGCCCAGACUCCUACGGGAGGCAGCAGUAGGGAAUAUUGGACAAUGGGCGAAAGCCUGAUCCAGCCAUGCCGCGUGUGUGAAGAAGGCUCUAGGGUUGUAAAGCACUUUCAGUAGGGAGGAAAAGCUAGUAGUUAAUACCUGCUAGCCCUGACGUUACCUACAGAAAGAAGCACCGGCAAACUCCGUGCCAGCAGCCGCGGUAAUACGGGAGGGUGCGAGGCGUUAAUCGGAAUUAUACUGGGGCGAAAGGGGGGGGAGGGGGUUUGGUAACCGGAGGGGGAAUCCCGGGGCGCAACCGGGGAUACGGUUCGGACCGG